rnacentral:rRNA from 1 species
AAAGUGGUGCUAAUACCGAAUGUUGUAUUGGAUCUGCAUGGAUUUGAUACUAAAGGUGGCCUCUAUAUAUAAGCUAUCACUAGAAGAUGGGUCUGCGUCUGAUUAGCUAGUUGGUGAGGUAAUGGCUCACCAAGGCGAUGAUCAGUAGCCGGUCUGAGAGGAUGAACGGCCACACUGGGACUGAGACACGGCCCAGACUCCUACGGGAGGCAGCAGUGGGAAUCUUCCGCAAUGGACGAAAGUCUGACGGAGCAACGCCGCGUGAGUGAAGAAGGUUUUCGGAUCGUAAAGCUCUGUCUUUGAGGACGAAUGUGUCUAAUGUGAAUAAUGUCAGAUAAUGACGGUACUCGAGGAGGAAGCCACGGCUAACUACGUGCCAGCAGCCGCGGUAAUACGUAGGUGGCAAGCGUUGUCCGGAAUUAUUGGGCGUAAAGCGCGCGCAGGCGGGAUAUUAAGUCUGUUUUAAAAGUUCGGGGCUCAACCCCGUGAUGGAAUGGAAACUAAUAUUCUUGAGUGCAGGAGAGGAAAGUGGAAUUCCCAGUGUAGCGGUGAAAUGCGUAGAUAUUGGGAGGAACACCAGUGGCGAAGGCGACUUUCUGGACUGUGUCUGACGCUGAGGCGCGAAAGCCAGGGGAGUGAACGGGAUUAGAUACCCCGGUAAUCCUGGCCGUAAACGAUGGGUACUAGGUGUAGGAGGUAUCGACCCCUUCUGUGCCGGAGUUAACGCAAUAAGUACCCCGCCUGGGGAGUACGGCCGCAAGGUUGAAACUCAAAGGAAUUGACGGGGGCCCGCACA